rnacentral:rRNA from 1 species
UACGUAGGGUGCAAGCGUUGUCUGGAAUUAUUGGGCGUAAAGAGCUCGUAGGCGGCCUGUCGCGUCGGCUGUGAAAACUCGGGGCUCAACCCCGAGCUUGCAGUCGAUACGGGCAGGCUAGAGUUCGGCAGGGGAGACUGGAAUUCCUGGUGUAGCGGUGAAAUGCGCAGAUAUCAGGAGGAACACCGGUGGCGAAGGCGGGUCUCUGGGCCGAUACUGACGCUGAGGAGCGAAAGCGUGGGGAGCGAACAGG